GAACGAACGCUGGCGGCGUGGAUAAGACAUGCAAGUCGAGCGCCUUGUAGCAAUACAGGGAGCGGCGAACGGGUGAGUAACACGUGAGUAAUCUGCCGAAAAGUUGGGGAUAGCCCUCCGAAAGGAGGAUUAAUACCGGAUGUGGCCAGGGACGGCAUUGUCCUGAAGCUAGAGCAGCAAUGCGCUUUUUGAGGAGCUCGCGUCCUAUCAGCUAGUUGGCGGGGUAACGGCCCACCAAGGCUUCGACGGGUAGCUGGUCUGAGAGGAUGGUCAGCCACACUGGAACUGAGACACGGUCCAGACACCUACGGUGGCAGCAGUCGAGAAUCAUUCGCAAUGGGGGAAACCCUGACGGUGCGACGCCGCGUGGAGGAAGAAGGCCCUCGGGUUGUAAACUCCUGUCAAGUGAGAGUAACGCUGGCAAUAGCUUGAGAGUAUCACUAGAGGAAGGGGCGGCUAACUCCGUGCCAGCAGCCGCGGUAAUACGGAGGCCCCGAGCGUUGUUCGGAUUUAUUGGGCGUAAAGGGUGCGUAGGCGGCGUGGUAAGUCUGGUGUGAAAGGCGUGGGCUCAACCCGCGGACUGCAUUGGAUACUGCCAUGCUAGAGGACUGGAGAGGAGAAUGGAAUUCACGGUGGAGCAGUGAAAUGCGUAGAUAUCGUGGGGAAGGCCAGUGGCGAAGGCGAUUCUCUGGACAGUACCUGACGCUGAGGCACGAAGGCUGGGGGAGCGAACAGGAUUAGAUACCCUGGUAGUCCCAGCAGUAAACGGUGUGCGCUUGAUGUGGGGGGAAUCGGCCCCUUCCGUGUCGAAGCUAACG
rnacentral:rRNA from 1 species